GGGUUAGACCGGAAAAGGGUGUGCAAAAAUGACAAGGGCACGGGGCCCAUAUGCUAAAGGCCCAUAGAUUUAGCUUACAGUGAAGGGAGGUGUAUGGUAUUAGGAGGGUGUAAACAGAAAAUAAUGGGCCCAUGGGAAACAAGUGAGGCCCAAGAACGCAUGUGAGGUGAGCUACAAUGUAUCAUCAGACUAAAUAACAUUCAAAUGACAAAAAUGAAUGUGAGAUGAAGUCUCUCCACAUCUCACCUGAAAUCCAUCAUCCUCUGUCGCGCCGGAGGUCGCCUCCGGAGGUAGAGGAGAGCCAAACUGCAAAACUCAACCACCAUCUCCAUUGUCUUUUCCUCCUCAAUCCAAAAUUCAUAUCCGUUUCAACAAAUUUUCAUUCUAGGAUCCAAACCGAAGCCAACCAUUGAGAACCCUAACCACGAAGAGAUAAAUUAAAUGCUCAUCACGGGGAAUCAGAGCCCAAGAGGUUGGGGAUUUGAUUCUCCAGUCCCUAGCUCACAUGCUAGUAACCAUAUUGAAGUGAAAAGAGGAAGAAGACGCUUAUGCUGCCGGAGAUGGUGAAUGUGACUACGACGUGAUUCCGGGUAUGCAAACAUGAUGGAAUGAUGGAACAAGACAUGACUUGCAGUUGAAGAAAUAAUGUGAAGACAAAAUCAAAAGGAUGUGGAACUUUGAAUAUUCAAAUAAAAAUGGGAAUUAGGGUUUAGGAUGGUCAAACUUGGUUAGUUGACUUUGGUAAACUGGUUGAUCAAAAAGUCAAUAGUUGACAAAAAGUCGACUUAGGUGAAAAAUGUAUUUUUUUAUGUAAUUCCUCUUGUAUGGACAUUUGUAAUAUAAUUUGUAGGAACGUAAUGACAUUUUGUAAUGAACAUGAUUGUGGACUUCGAAACGAAAUGGACUUGGAAUGAAAAUGAAUUUGAAUAA